rnacentral:rRNA from 1 species
AAAUGUAUCUUGCCACUCUGGACAGACCUGGUCUCAUUUGAUCUCUAAGCAGGGUUGGGCCUCGAUUGUCCUUGAUUGAGAGACCACCUGGGACGACAAAGUGCUGUAAGUA